UACGUAGGUGACAAGCGUUAUCCGGAUUUAUUGGGCGUAAAGCGCACGCAGGCGGUCUAUCAAGUCUGACGUGAAAUCUCUCGGCUUAACCGGGAGCGGUCGUUGGAAACUGAAGGACUUGAGGCGAUGAGAGGGGUGUGGAAUUCCCGGUGUAGUGGUGGAAUGCGUAGAUAUCGGGAGGAACAUCAGUGGCGAAAGCGGCACCCUGGCAUUAGCCUGACGCUCAUGUGCGAAAGCGUGGGGAGUGAACGGG
rnacentral:rRNA from 1 species